AUUGAACGCUGGCGGCAUGCUUUACACAUGCAAGUCGAACGGUAACAGGCCGCAAGGUGCUGACGAGUGGCGAACGGGUGAGUAAUGCAUCGGAACGUGCCCAGUCGUGGGGGAUAACUACUCGAAAGAGUAGCUAAUACCGCAUACGAUCUAUGGAUGAAAGCGGGGGACCGUAAGGCCUCGCGCGAUUGGAGCGGCCGAUGUCAGAUUAGGUAGUUGGUGGGGUAAAGGCUCACCAAGCCAACGAUCUGUAGCUGGUCUGAGAGGACGACCAGCCACACUGGGACUGAGACACGGCCCAGACUCCUACGGGAGGCAGCAGUGGGGAAUUAUGGACAAUGGGCGCAAGCCUGAUCCAGCAAUGCCGCGUGCAGGAAGAAGGCCUUCGGGUUGUAAACUGCUUUUGUACGGAACGAAACGGCUCUGGUUAAUACCCGGGGCUAAUGACGGUACCGUAAGAAUAAGCACCGGCUAACUACGUG
rnacentral:rRNA from 1 species